rnacentral:rRNA from 1 species
UGGCGGCGUGGAUAAGACAUGCAAGUCGAGCGAGGCUCCAAGUCUCGAGUGGCGAACGGGUGAGUAACACGUGAGCAACCUGCCCGGAAAUGGGGGAUAGCCCGAGGAAACUCGGAUUAAUACCGCGUAUGAUCUGGCACGGCAUCGUGCUAAGAUUAAAGGUGGCUUCGGCUGCCGUUUCCGGAUGGGCUCGCGGCCUAUCAGCUUGAUGGCGGGGUAACGGCCCACCAUGGCAACGACGGGUAGCUGGUCUGAGAGGAUGAUCAGUCACACUGGAACUGAGACACGGUCCAGACACCUACGGGUGGCAGCAGUCGAGAAUCAUUCACAAUGGGCGAAAGCCUGAUGGUGCGACGCCGCGUGGAGGAUGACGGUCUUAGGAUUGUAAACUCCUGUCAUCAGGGAGUAAAGCUCUGGCGUUAAGAGCACCGUGGGGCUUGAUAGUAUCUGAAGAGGAAGGGACGGCUAACUUCGUGCCAGCAGCCGCGGUAAUACGAAGGUCCCAAGCGUUGUUCGGAAUCACUGGGCGUAAAGCGUGCGUAGGCGGCUUGGUAAGUCAGAUGUGAAAGCCCAGGGCUCAACCUUGGAACUGCAUCCGAUACUGCCUUACUUGAGUAAUGGAGGGGCAUCUGGAAUUCACGGUGUAGCAGUGAAAUGCGUAGAUAUCGUGAGGAACACUAGUGGCGAAGGCGAGAUGCUGGACAUUUACUGACGCUGAGGUACGAAGGCCAGGGUAGCGAAAAGGAUUAGAUACCCUUGUAGUCCUGGCAGUAAACGGUGCUCGCUUGGUGUGGGGAGGUUCGACCCUCUCCGUGCCGGAGCUAACGCGUUAAGCGAGCCGCCUGGGGAGUACGGCCGCAAGGCUAAAACUCAAAGAAAUUGACGGGGACCCGCACAAGCGGUGGAGUAUGUGGCUUAAUUCGAUGCAACGCGAAGAACCUUACCUAGGCUUGACAUGCUAAUCGUAUCCCUAUGAAAGUGGGGGAGUCAGUUCGGCUGGAUAUGCACAGGUGCUGCAUGGCUGUCGUCAGCUCGUGUCGUGAGAUGUUGGGUUAAGUCCCGCAACGAGCGCAACCCUUGUGUCCUGUUGCCAGCGAGUAAUGUCGGGGACUCUGGACAGACUGCCGGUGCUUAAACCGGAGGAAGGUGGGGAUGCGUCAAGUCAGUAUGGCCCUUACGCCCAGGGCUGCACACGUACUACAAUGCCCAGCACAAUGUGAACCGAUGCCGCAAGGCGGAGGAAAUCCUGAAAACUGGGCUCAGUUCGGAUUGGAGGCUGCAACUCGCCUCCAUGAAGUCGGAAUCGCUAGUAAUGCCGUAUCAGCUACGACGGCGUGAAUACGUUCCCGGGUCUUGUACACACCGCCCGUCACAUCAUGGAAGCCGAUCACACCCGAAGUGCGUGCGCUAAACUUGUUAGGCAAUGCCCUAAGGUGAGGCUGGUAACUGGGAUGAAGUCGUAACAAGGUAACCGUA